rnacentral:rRNA from 11 species
CUAACUUCGUGCCAGCAGCCGCGGUAAGACGGAGGAUGCAAGUGUUAUCCGGAAUCACUGGGCGUAAAGCGUCUGUAGGUGGUCAAAUAAGUCAACUGUUAAAUCUUGAAGCUUAACUUCAAAAUCGCAGUCGAAACUAUUAGACUAGAGUAUAGUAGAGGUAAAGGGAAUUUCCAGUGGAGCGGUGAAAUGCGUAGAUAUUGGAAAGAACACCAAUGGCGAAGGCACUUUACUGGGCUAUUACUAACACUCAGAGACGAAAGCUAGGGUAGCAAAUGGGAUUAGAUACCCCAGUAGUCCUAGCUGUAAACAAUGGAUACUAGAUGUUGAACAGAUCGACCUGUGCAGUAUCAAAGCUAACGCGUUAAGUAUCCCGCCUGGGAAGUAUGCUCGCAAGAGU